GAUGAACGCUGGCGGCGUGCCUAAUACAUGCAAGUCGAGCGAACUGAUUAGAAGCUUGCUUCUAUGACGUUAGCGGCGGACGGGUGAGUAACACGUGGGCAACCUGCCUGUAAGACUGGGAUAACUUCGGGAAACCGAAGCUAAUACCGGAUAGGAUCUUCUCCUUCAUGGGAGAUGAUUGAAAGAUGGUUUCGGCUAUCACUUACAGAUGGGCCCGCGGUGCAUUAGCUAGUUGGUGAGGUAACGGCUCACCAAGGCAACGAUGCAUAGCCGACCUGAGAGGGUGAUCGGCCACCCUGGGACUGAGAUACGGCCCAGACUCCUACGGGAGGCAGCAGUAGGGAAGCUUCCGCAAUGGACGAAAGUCUGACGGAGCAACGCCGCGUGAGUGAUGAAGGCUUUCGGGUCGUAAAACUCUGUUGUUAGGGAAGAACAAGUACAAGAGUAACUGCUUGUACCUUGACGGUACCUAACCAGAAAGCCACGGCUAACUACGUGCCAGCCGCCGCCGCGGUAA
rnacentral:rRNA from 1 species